UUGACUGUGAGUAAAUGAAACCAUGGAGAACACAACUGUGGUUAAGGGAUGGGAGCUACUGUAAUCUCCUCUCUCUCCUUUCUUUGACUCUUUUCCUCUCUUAAAAACAUGUCCCCAAAGCAGUUAUAAAAGAGCAGAGGGAACUGGAAAAAAGAAGAUGAUUGUCGAUCUUAGAGAGCUACUUCCUUUAGCUCUCUUCCACAAAAUUAUUGACCUUGUUUGCAAGAACUAGACAAUAAGGACAACGUGGCAGCCCACACCUUCAGGAAGAGGGGCAACUUACAGAAACGACGUGCCCCUCAGGGCACACAGCAUAAGGCCAUGAGGCUGCUGGCCUGUCUUGAUAUCUGUAUACUCUUUUCGUAUCAGAUAUGAAAUCGACUGGCCAGAAUUAUGAAUGGGUGACAGAUACCUGAACAUAGAAAUCCUUAAUAGUUCUUGGAACACAAAAAUACCAUUGAUCAGCAGUAACUGGGAGACAGAACACCAAAGGUCUUUCCAUAUCAAAUCCAUGGAGAGAGUCUUGGCAUGAUUCAGCCAGGGAAGGGGGUGUUCCAACCAUGUAAACAUUUUUACUAGGAUGGAAACUUUGGGUCUUUGAAUCCCAGAAAACAAAUGAACCAACGAAUCAACCAGCUUGGUUAUACUAGCCAGCAAAGUAUAAAACAGCCACAAAGACAAACUCCUGAGUGUCAUCGUUUUUCUUAGAAAGCUAAUCUGACUAUUUUAGAAUGACUCAUAAAAGGACAGUGGA